rnacentral:rRNA from 1 species
GCUGAGCUAGAUCCCCUUCGGGGGUGACGCUCGUGGAACGAGCGGCGGACGGGUGAGUAACACGUGGGUAACCUGCCUGUAAGAUCGGAAUAACUCCGGGAAACCGGAGCUAAUGCCGGGUAAUACUUUCUUUCGCAUGAAGGAAAGUUGAAAGAUGGCUUCUUGCUAUCACUUACAGAUGGACCCGCGGCGCAUUAGCUAGUUGGUGAGGUAACGGCUCACCAAGGCGACGAUGCGUAGCCGACCUGAGAGGGUGAUCGGCCACACUGGGACUGAGACACGGCCCAGACUCCUACGGGAGGCAGCAGUAGGGAAUCUUCCGCAAUGGACGAAAGUCUGACGGAGCAACGCCGCGUGAACGAUGAAGGUCUUCGGAUCGUAAAGUUCUGUUGUUAGGGAAGAACAAGUACCGUUCGAAUAGGGCGGUACCUUGACGGUACCUAACGAGGAAGCCCCGGCUAACUACGUGCCAGCAGCCGCGGUAAUACGUAGGGGGCAAGCGUUGUCCGGAAUUAUUGGGCGUAAAGCGCUCGCAGGCGGUUCCUUAAGUCUGAUGUGAAAGCCCACGGCUCAACCGUGGAGGGUCAUUGGAAACUGGGGAACUUGAGGACAGAAGAGGAGAGUGGAAUUCCACGUGUAGCGGUGAAAUGCGUAGAUAUGUGGAGGAAC